AGGAUGGCCGUGGUGCUGGCCCAGGUACGCGUAAUGCAGCCUGAGGAUUUUGCACAACAGCGGCGGUCACUCGCUGAACCUUGUCACCAUCCAACACAACAGUGACGAGUACCUAGGCAUGAAACACAUCUCCCCGCCCCCUCAAAGGAAAAGGGAUUAAUAUGUCACCAUCCAACACAACAGUGACGAGUACCUUGGCAUGAAACACAUCUCCCCGCCCCCUCAAAGGAAAAGGGAUUAAUAUGUCACCAUCCAACACAACAGUGACGAGUACCUUGGCAUGAAACACAUCUCCCCGGUC